rnacentral:rRNA from 1 species
UACGUAGGGGGCAAGCGUUGUCCGGAUUUAUUGGGCGUAAAGAGCUCGUAGGCGGUUAUCCACGUCGGGUGUGAAAGCUCGGUGCUCAACACCGAGAUGCCAUUCGAUACGGGAUGGCUAGAGGUAGGUAGGGGAGAUUGGAAUUCCUGGUGUAGCGGUGAAAUGCGCAGAUAUCAGGAGGAACACCGGUGGCGAAGGCGGCUCUCUGGGGCUGUUCUGACGCUGAGGCGCGAAGGCUGGGGGAGCAAACAGGAUUAGAAACCCUAGUAGU